UACGGAGGGGGCAAGCGUUGUUCGGAUUUACUGGGCGUAAAGGGUGUGUAGGCGGUUGCGCAAGUCUGGUGUGAAAUCUUCACCGCUUAACGGGAAGAGGUCACUGGAAACUGCGUAACUCGAGUAUGGUAGAGGCAAGCGGAAUUCCUGGUGUAGCGGUGGAAUGUGUAGAUAUCAGGAAGAACAUCUGUGGCGAAGGCGGCUUGCUGGGCCAUCACUGACGCUGAGACACGAAAGCGUGGGGAGCAAAAGGG
rnacentral:rRNA from 1 species